rnacentral:rRNA from 1 species
GCCAAGCCGUAAAUUAACUUACACCUACCAACGCCAGGGAAUUACGAGUUUCAACUUAAAACCCAAAGGACUUGACGGUAUCCCACCCCACUAGAGGAGCCUGUCCUAUAAUUGAUGAUCCCCAAUAUACCCUACCAUUCCUCGUUUAUCAGUCUGUAUACCGCCGUCGUAAGUUUACCGUGUGAACGCACAACAGUAAGCCCAAGGACUUCCCCGCCACAACGUCAGGUCAAGGUGCAACUUAUGUAAUGGAAAGUGAUGGGCUACAAUUUCUAAUAUAGAACAUACGAAAAACUACAUGAAACAUAGUCAUGAAGGUGGAUUUAGUAGUAAAUAAGGAAUAGAGAGCCUUAUUAAACCCGGCCCUGGGAUGUGUACACACCGCCCGUCACC